rnacentral:lncRNA from 1 species
GAUGAGCCUCAGAAGUCAGCGAGACUCAGGUAGUGAGAGAGCAAAAACAGUAAGGGCAAAGAAAGACCCAGUUUCUUAGGGAACGCAAAUGAUUUAUUAUCCAGAUACUUGGAUAGUUCCUUUUUAAGAAAACAAAACAAACAAAAAAAAGUAAGAAAAGGAAAAAAAAAACCUUUUAUCCUUGAAUGUGGCUAAGAGUGGCUAUGCUUGUGAUUUGGGCCAUAGGCGAGUGCACUUGUGGACACAUGUGUGUGUGGGUGUGGUCAAUAAGAGACUGCACAGGGAAAGGCUUUGCUAUGUCAAGGCCUCAGUUUCCCCAGCUGUGCAGGGAGCUGAGACAGGGUUUUAGCCAUGGCCCUGAGUUCUAAAGUCACAAGCAGAAGCUGGGGCCUGGUGGCCUUCGUCCUCUCCGGAGCCCCCUGCAGGUGCCCUUCUGUGGCCUCCUCUGGCUUUGGAGGGUCCAGCUGUGGUUCUGGGAGACUGUUCAGGUCUGUUUGGUGAUUCCUGGUCUCGUGAUGGCCAAAACUCUUACUGAGAGGGAGGGGGUGUUCCAGGGAGGGCUCUCUCCCUGGGUGAGGCUGGGUGGCUCUGUGUCUAAGCUGGCACUAGCCGGUCUGCACCCCUGUGCCUCUAGCCAUCAUUUUACCCGCUGAUCUCCCUACUGGGGUCAGGAGAUAUGAAGGUAACUAAGUAGACAGCUGUAUACCCACUCUUGACCACAGCGCAUUCUGGGAUGUUCCAUGGGGCCAGUGGAAGGGAUGAAUUCUUGUCCCUUUCAGCCCACGGGCAGUGACAGGGACUAGGAUCACUGGUAUUGAUCCUAUUGAGAUGCUGACUUCCCUGAACUGCCCUUGACCAGCCUGAAAGCUUUGAAAGUUGGGGCCUCUGUGAGGAGGCAGGUUUCAUGGCCACAGACCCAGCAAGCAUCUCUGCCCUGGUUUUCCUGAAGUGGGGCUCUGAGACAGACCAAGGUGCCCCUGGCAUCUAGGUGAACAGUGCCUCAUAGAGUAGUCCUCAGCUCCUCCUGCCAAAGAUGCUCAUCCCUGUGGGCAUACUCUCACUGGUCACUGUUAGCCCGCACAUAGAAGGGGGAAGCCAAGGUGGAGCUGUGCUGUGUGACUUCAGGCACAUAACUGCUUUCUCUGGGCUUAAGUGUCCUUUUAUCCUGGGAUGCUCCACGAGGCCCCUUGGGUUCCCACGCUUCUCUGAGAAUCGAGUAGAGACAAGUUGAUUGUGGUCUGCAUGCUCUCUCCUUUGCCCGUCCUCGGAAACCUGCCUGUCUGGGACCUGAGGGAGCACUUAGUGAGCAAGUCCCAGCUUACAGUCCGACUCUUACUUAGAAGGUGCUCAGCAUCUGGGGCACAGAAGCUAGAGCUGGAGCCUGGGGUAGGGCUCUAACCAGACAGCCCAGGUAAGGUCAAGCCAACUCUGAGCUGAGCCAGACAGGGCUGUUGGGUUGGGUUUCCAUUCCUGCCUCCAAUGAGAUGAAGCCUCUCCCCUUCCCAUUCCUAGCCAGCUUGGCGUUGCUGGGUCCUGCAGGGUAUUUCUGUGUCAUCUUGGGUAGUAUGUGUGUUUGGGAGCAUGUGUGUGUGUGUGUGUGUGUGUGUGUGUGUGUGUGUGUGUGUGUGUGUGUGCAUGCCUGUGCUUUUCAACUUGGCACAUCAGGGCACCCCUCCCAGAACACGCACACCUAUCCCCACAUGUGGACAUGACCUCUGUGCCCAGGUUUGUGCCACUGGAGGUGGGCGUGCCUGUUUGCUGUCCCCGAGUCACAGUCAGUUGGUGUAUCUCCUAUGUGCCUCUCUGCUCUUCUCAAUGGGGCCAGGUGUCUGAGUUCUGGCCAUACCCCUUGAGGGACAGGGACCCUUCUUAUCCCUGGAUCUUUCAGGGCUCUCUGGUCCCCCAUCUUGAGGCUCCCAGGCAUCCGAGACAGCACCUUCCUCCCACCCUCAGAGGUCAAGUGGGUGGGAGCUCAGGUGCCGGGGUGUGGACAUGGCUGUGUGUCUGUGGGUUCUGAUAUGCAGGGGACGGUCCCGGCCCUGUUCGUCCAUUCUGUAAAUAACUUGUAAAUAGUCUUUAGCAUUCCUCUUGUAACAAGAUUAAUUUUUAUGAAAUAAAUUAUAUUUCCUAGUCU